rnacentral:rRNA from 1 species
UACGAAGGGGGCUAGCGUUGUUCGGAUUUACUGGGCGUAAAGCGCACGUAGGCGGAUCGUUAAGUCGGGGGUGAAAUCCUGGAGCUCAACUCCAGAACUGCCUUCGAUACUGGCGAUCUCGAGUCCGGAAGAGGUGAGUGGAACUCCUAGUGUAGAGGUGAAAUUCGUAGAUAUUCGCAAGAACACCAGUGGCGAAGGCGGCUCACUGGCCCGGUACUGACGCUGAGGUGCGAAAGCGUGGGGAGCAAACAGGG